rnacentral:rRNA from 1 species
GGACUACUCGGGUAUCUAAUCCCGUUCGCUCCCCUAGCUUUCGUCCCUGAGCGUCAGUAAUGAGCCAGUAAAGCGCCUUCGCGACUGGUGUUCCUCCCGAUCUCUGCAGAUUUCACCCUUACACCGGGAAUUCCCUUUACCCCUCUCAUACUCUAGUUCGGAAGUUUCAAAUGCAGUUCUACAGUUGAGCUGUAGGAUUUCACAUCUGACUUUCCGAACCGCCUACGGACCCUUUACGCCCAAUAAAUCCGAACAACGCUUGCCACCUCUGUAUUACCGCGGCUGCUGGCAC